rnacentral:ncRNA from 1 species
AGGAGCCGUGUACAGACCCGUACGCACGGUUCUGUGGGCAGACGCGGGAGCUGCGGCUCCCUCUGACCCGAU